UACGUAGGGGGCAAGCGUUGUCCGGAAUUAUUGGGCGUAAAGCGCGUGUAGGCGGCCAGAUAAGUCCGCUGUGAAAUCUUGAGGCUCAACUUCGAGCUGUCGGUGGAAACUGUCUGGCUAGAGUCCGGAAGAGGAGAAUGGAAUUCCUGGUGUAGCGGUGAAAUGCGCAGAUAUCAGGAAGAACACCCGUGGCGAAGGCGGUUCUCUGGGACGGUACUGACGCUGAGACGCGAAAGCGUGGGGAGCGAACAGG
rnacentral:rRNA from 1 species